rnacentral:rRNA from 1 species
UACGAAGGGGGCUAGCGUUGUUCGGAAUCACUGGGCGUAAAGGGCUCGUAGGCGGCCAACUAAGUCAGACGUGAAAUCCCUGGGCUCAACCCAGGAACUGCGUCCGAUACUGGUUGGCUUGAAUCCGGGAGAGGGAUGUGGAAUUCCAGGUGUAGCGGUGAAAUGCGUAGAUAUCUGGAGGAACACCGGUGGCGAAGGCGACAUCCUGGACCGGCAUUGACGCUGAGGCGCGAAAGCCAGGGGAGCAAACGGG